UGAGGAAUAUUGGUCAAUGGGGGCAACCCUGAACCAGCCAAGUCGCGUGAAGGAUGAAGGUCUUAUGGAUUGUAAACUUCUUUUACACGGGAAUAAAGCGGGGGACGUGUCCCUCUUUGCAUGUACCGUGUGAAUAAGGAUCGGCUAACUCCGUGCCAGCAGCCGCGGUAAUACGGAGGAUCCGAGCGUUAUCCAGAUUUAUUGGGUUUAAAGGGUGCGCAGGCGGGAUGUUAAGUCGGCGGUGAAAUUUUGCAGCUCAACUGUAAAAGUGCCUUCGNUACUGGCCUUCUUGAGUGUGGAUGAAGUAGGCGGAAUUUAUGGUGUAGCGGUGAAAUGCUUUGAUAUCACGAGGUACUCCGAUUGCGCAGACAGCUGACUAAGCCACACCUGACGCUCAUGCACGA
rnacentral:rRNA from 1 species